rnacentral:tRNA from 1 species
GGAAGGGUGGCCGAGCGGUCGAAGGCGCGGCGCUGGAAACGCCGUGUGCCCCUUUUGGGGCACCGAGGGUUCGAAUCCCUCCCCUUCCGCCA